CUCAUCCCCCCUUUCUGUUUCCCCCAACGGUACACAUAUCCUAUCCUUGCCUCUGCUCGCUCGCAAAACCUUUUUUUUUCCCCCUUUCUUUUCCCGUCUCUGUGUCGCGUAAAAAUAUCCACGACUGACUUGUAAUUCCUGCUGCUUUUUCUGACUUCUAUGCAGCUCCAAUCCGUCCGAAAAGUAGUCGCUGUUUUAUCAUAUUUAUGGGCACUUUCGUCUUGUAGUCUUUACACCUAAACGUCAAGAUAACAGCCGCAUCUCCGUUUUCUUUUCUUUUUUUCUUCCUUUCUUUUUUUGCCGAUCAGAUUCAUUUUUGGUGAGAUUAGUAACAAUGAAGUUACAGGCAGAAAUAAAGCAGAUUUUUGAAAAAAAAGGCCCAUUCAGCUUAGACUGACUGCCUUAUUUGCAAGCCUCGUUUGUGUUUUCCUCCGAGAGUACAGCCUAUUCUAUUUUGGGGUAUGUGGAAGAGAUCUUGUUUAGUUUAACUUCAAAAUAUCCUACAAAUGUGAACUGGCUAAGUGGUUACUAAACGCAUGCAGUGACCUAUAGGUUUCGACUGGACCAUACUUUAGUUUCCGGCAAUAACUUUGGUAUGAUUAUGUCUGCUUAAGGUCAGACUAAUAGGGCAAUGUUUUGUUUUCAUUCCGGUCAGCAUUUCUCGGGGAAAAAUGUUCUCUUGAGCGUCUGAUACGGUGGCCAAGUAGUUCGAGGCAGCAGAUGCAGCCUAUCUAUGUCUUCCCCUCAACCACAUGUCUGUUCUCUGACACGCAGCUCACACUCUCAGCCUGUCCGUGUACGAGGUCCUGCUGAUCCGCUCUUGUCAUGAAGGAGACCCGGGGAUCCGUUUUUCUCAACACACCACAUUCACAUAACACACUCACACACACACUACGCUCGCAAACACAAACCCCUCAUGCACGCACGCACAAAUACACACUCACUCACUCUCUCACACACACACACACACACACACACACACACACACACACACAAACACACACACACACUCACACACCUCGAUCGAUUUGCAUGUGACUUCGUCAGGGAAUGAGCGAGAAUCGACCUAAAAACAACGCUUCAAAGAGGCAAACGUCCAUGAAAAAUAAAAAAGAAAAGAUGGACAAAGUGGGGUAAAGAGGAAAGUGUAGCUAGAGGAACUAAGGCAGGGCGGAGGGAUUGCACAUUUCAGAGAGAGACGUAUUGGAGAAGAACAAAAAUGUGUUUAUCCAGAGGAGGAUUUUAUAACCAUACGACGGUGCUGAAAACCCCUGGAUGUCGCAAGUGUCAAAUCUGUCAAAAUUAGAAAGCGAGAGAUGUUCCCUUUCGCCGGACGCACACGGACCCACAGGCUGGACUUGGAGCUCCUUUUCUGGGCUGCGCUCAUGUGGAGCUGCCGCUGCCCUUCGUCCGCUCAACACAGCCCCUUUCUUAUUGCCUCUGUGCCUCAAAACACGUUUCUCGACAACCAUAAGCCCUCCAUACCUUUUCCCGAUCCCACCGAAAUGCACAUAUUUGUUUUAAAACCGUGUUUUUCUACGAUCAACUGCUUUGGAGAGGAUCGCUGUCUUGCCCAUUUCUUAUCUUCCAUUCAUGAGGAGGAGAGAGGACGAACGCUGAUGUAAACACAGAAACCGUUGGGUCUGCGCUGUUUAACACUACAUCACAGCACAUAUGAGAGGCUGGUGUCCGGCUCUCCAUGUGUCUAGGGUGGAUAGGGCAGCGCAGCCAGGUGCAAUGGGAGCGCCCUCUUAUGUUCAGCCUGACCACUGGGAUCAAGCAGCGCAUCAACUCUUUACAGGAGCCAAGCGCCUGCGGACCAGCUGGUCUUUGCAAAAGCGCACCUUUGCCUUUCUCUCUAACAUUAUAUAUUAGACUGCUUCCCGUGUAAAUGAUGUACAUCCACAUGGUCGGCUUAUUGCGUGGUCAAAAGUAAGAUAGAGCCUCCACGGCGGAAAUCACAAACAUUUCACAUACAGAUUUCACCAAAAAAACCGUCUGUUAAUGACAUAGCACACUGUCCGAAAGUGACAUAAUUUUUAAACAGCCACUAAACAAGAAGCAAAAGCCCAACGCAGAUCAAACUUGAACUUCGCCUAAUUAGCGGAGCAUCCUGCAGAAAUCAGCACAGUUCACACACAAAUCUACAUUAUUACACUAAAAGUUUGUGUGUAUUUAAUUAAAAAUGAACUUUUUUGUUGUCGUCAUAAUUUGUCUGUGACUGUGGGAGCUGCAUGUUUUACACUUUGGAUGAUUUCCAUUAAAGCAUAUGUUCCUGCUGGACAGGGAAUACAUCGUUUUGCAAACCUUUACUUAAAUGCAUUUUAUUUCUUCGACUAUAUUUUCUAAAGGAGUAUUUGCAAAUAUACCGGUAUUAUAUCCUUCUGUGGCCUCUUCGUUUCUCUUCUUUUUUAUCCCUGUGUCAUGUUUGGCACACAGAGAAUGUUCUUGAAGUGGAUACAACUCAGUGUGGUGAUUUUGUGUGUGUGUGUGUGUGUGUGUGUGUGUGUGUGUGUGUGUGUGUGUGUGUGUGUGUGUGUAGCCUUCUGUAUGAAAUUCAAGUGCAAUGUUUGCUAUUGUCAUUGUUGUUAUUUUACGUAGUCUUGUCUGUAUUACAGCAUGUAUUAUAUCAGAUCACUUAGGCUAUUCAUCAUUCAACUGGUUUUAACUUAAUCAGAGAUGCAGAAAUGUUUCCCCACAGUGGAAAUCUGCCCUAAUGAUUUACAUGACUUAAACCUGUACUGUUCAUAUUGGUGGAUAUAUUUAUCUAAACGUUUUUAAAAUGCUAUCAUGUUAAACGCAUGUGUGUUGAAUGAGUUUUUUUUGUUGUUGUUUGUUUGUUUGUUUGUUAUUUAUUGUUCCAGAUGUUCUGUUUGUAUCAUUAUGGGAAUGUUUUGCCUACUGUUUUUCCACCUACUUGAUGUUACGACUGUCUGUUUGUAGCUAGUAUGUUUUUUAUUUAUUUUUGUUGGUAUUUUAUUUUUGUUUGUUGAUCUAAAUAAAUUGAAUAAAAUAUUUAUAUUAAAAUACUCCUGGACAAAAA